AUUGAACGCUGGCGGCAGGCCUAACACACGCAAGUCGAGCGGUAGCACAGAGAGCUUGCUCUCGGGUGACGAGCGGCGGACGGGUAAGUAAUGUCUGGGAAACUGCCUGAUGGAGGGGGAUAACUACUGGAAACGGUAGCUAAUACCGCAUAACGUCGCAAGACCAAAGAGGGGGACCUUCGGGCCUCCUGCCAUCAGAUGUGCCCAGAUGGGAUUAGCUAGUAGGUGGGGUAACGGCUCACCUAGGCGACGAUCCCUAGCUGGUCUGAGAGGAUGACCAGCCAGACUGGAACUGAGACACGGUCCAGACUCCUACGGGAGGCAGCAGUGGGGAAUAUUGCACAAUGGGCGCAAGCCUGAUGCAGCCAUGCCGCGUGUAUGAAGAAGGCCUUCGGGUUGUAAAGUACUUUCAGCGGGGAGGAAGGCGAUAAGGUUAAUAACCUUGUCGAUUGACGUUACCCGCAGAAGAAGCACCGGCUAACUCCGUGCCAGCAGCCGCCGUAA
rnacentral:rRNA from 1 species